CUCCAGGGGAAGCCAGCUGCCAUGUUGUGAGGACACACUAGAAACCCACAUAGCAAGGAACUGAGGCCUCCUGCCAACAGCCCUGUGAGGGAAACAUCUUGGAAGCAGCUCCUCCAGCCCCAGGCGAGCCUUGCAGAUUGAGUUUCCUGGGCAGCUCUCCUCCAGUCCUCUCCAAGCAGCUGGCAAAAGGGGAAAGAGAGAAAACACCUGUGGGAAGUUUUUAAUGGAGCUGGCGGGAAGUGACAUAUCAUUUCCUUUUACAUUCCAUUGGCCAAAUCAGUCACACGGCCUCACCUAACUACAAGGGAUGCUGGGAAAUGUAGUCCAGCCUUGUGCCCAGGAGGAAACAGUUUGAUGGACAUCGAGCCAGUCUGUGCCACGGGUCAUUGGAGUGAUUUUCAAACCUAUUUUCUCAAAUCCUUGCUCUCCCAUCAACAGAGAAAAACACUCCAAGGAUUUCCCCAUAAGCCAUAGGACAAAGUCCAGUGCCCUCAACCUAGUACUUCUAGAACUGAAAAUGUUGAGCAAACAAUGGGAUACCGGUGUCUGCGAAAAUGAACCUUGAAGAGCAUCCGUAUUUCAGGACCUGGAAGUGGAAGGGGGGAUGGCUCUGCCUGGCUUCCUGGAAGAGGAGGCAUUGAUGCUGUAGUUUUGAAGAAGGCAGAAGCCCAAAAUCUGAGAAGUGGGAGAAGGAAGAGAAGAAGGGUGUAGCAUCAGGGAAGUCAAAGGAAGAGGACGUUUGAAGAAAGAAGAAAUGGUCAGCUAUAAGGCAUGCUGGAGAGAGAUUCGGAAGAUAGCAGGUGUGGGGGUGGGUGGAGUAGGAAAAGCUCCUGCUCCAAUUCAGGCAGCAGGUACAGAAGGAGUCUAUAGGAUCAGAAAAAUCAUUGUUUUGCAACCACCAGCGAAGUAAAUAGUUUAAGCCAAGGGGCAUCCAUGGGUGCAAAACCCCAUUGGGUGAAAGGUUGUAAGAGACAAAAUGGUCACACAGUCCUGGGAUAUCCUUCUCACAGAUUGCUUAUCAAUUACUGAGGCUCAGUGACACCUGUAAUGGGGAGACACCACUGGAACCAAGUCAUCAAGGUUAACAUCACCAGUCAGGUGACAAAGCAGCAUCCUGUGCCUCCCGGUACCAUGCACUGAGGAGGACAUUAAUGCCACUUUUGAAAUUGCUCAGGGUCAAAAACGCAUAGCCUAAAUCUAAUCAUGAGGAAACAUCAGAUUGUGGGAGAUUCUACAAGAUACCUGGCCCAGACCCCUAAAAAUAUGAGUCAUGAAACACACAAAAAAGGUAGCGGAAUGUUCUAGAAGAAAAGAGAUGAAAGAAAUGUGUCAGGAAAACACAACCUGUAACCCCCUUUGGAGCCUGGAUUUGUCUCCACCUCCUUGCCUCUACCCCACCCUCCAAAAAAAUCCCCACUAUAAAAGAUAUUUGGUGAGAAUGUAAAAUGACGCAGCUGCUGUAGAAAAUGAUAUAGCAGUUGCUCAGAUAAUUAAACACAGAAUUACCAUAUGAUCCAGCAUUCCACUUCUGAGCAUGUACACUAAAGAAUUGAAAGCAGGGCCUCAAAAUAUUUGUACAUCCAUGUUCACAACAGUAUUAUUCAUAGUGGCCAAAAGAUGGAAACAAAUGCCUAUCAAGAGAUGAAUGGAUAAACACACUAUAGUGUCUAUACAAUGAAAUAUCAUUCAGCCUUAAAAAGGAAGGACACUGACACCUGCCAUGAGGACAUUAAGCUCAGACACAGAAAGACAAAUACUCUGUGAUUUCCCUUAUAUGAGGUCCUCAGAGGCGUCAGAUUCAUAGAGACAGGAAGUAGAUGGUGGGGGCCAGGGGAGCGGGGAGAGGAGGGAGUGUUUAAACUGACAGAGUGUCAGUUUGGGAAGAUGAGAAAGCUCUGGAAAUGGAUGGUGGGGACGGCUGCUCAACAGUGUGAAUGUACUUAAUGCCACUGAACGGCACUUAAAAAUGGUUAAGGUGGUACACUUUAUGUUAUGUAUGUUUUACCGCAAUAAUAAAGACACAUGGCACAGUGGGAACUUGGAAUACGGAGCAUAUAGUAUAUGAGAUGGUAGCGGUGGCUGUGUGUCAACCCUCUGAGAGUGAUAAUGGUACAGUGGUUUUCUAGAAGCUCCUGAUUCUUAGCGUAGGGGGUGAGUCACAAAGCGUAGCAAUGAAAUGCUGUGAUGCUUCAACUGGGAGAGAGAAAGAGGAAGAGAGCAAAAAACGGUCACUAUCAACAGUUGGAAAAUCAAGGGGGAAGACCACAUGUCUGUUGUAUCUUUCACCUCUUUUCUGUAAGAUUGGAAUUUUUCCAAGUAAAAAGUCUAAGAUAAGAGAAAGACGAGGACAGUGAGGUGACAAGGACUUGCAAACCCUACAGGUUAAUACAGUUGUUCUCUCCAUUUUACAGAUGGGGAAACUGAGGCCCCGAGAGGCGAAAUCACUUGUUCCAAACCAGAGGGAAGUGGGGAUAGGACACAGGCCAGGUGUCGUCAGGCUGGAGGGGACACCUUUGAACCAGGAGGUCUCAGAUUCAUCCCUGGUUGAUCCAACUCACUGUCCUUCCCCCAGCACCCCAGUAGAUGGUACUACCUCAGGGGUGGUCCUUUUGUCCUCUGCAAAGGGAAGACAUACCCAAGGCAAGCCAGUAGGCGCACGAAUGGAUAAACACAAUGUGGUUUCUAUACAAUGAAAUAUUAUUCAGCCUUAAAAAGGCAGGACACUCUGACACCUGCCAUGAGGACACGGUCCUCAGUGACAUAAGCCAGACACAGAAGGACCAAUACUGUGUGAUUCCUCUUAUGUGAGGUCCCCAGAGGAGUCAGAUUCAUAGAGACAGAGAGUAGAUGGUGGUGCCAGGGGCUGGGGCAG